rnacentral:rRNA from 1 species
AUUGAACGCUGGCGGCAUGCCUUACACAUGCAAGUCGAACGGCAGCACGGGUGCUUGCACCUGGUGGCGAGUGGCGAACGGGUGAGUAAUACAUCGGAACGUACCUUAUCGUGGGGGAUAACGCAGCGAAAGCUGUGCUAAUACCGCAUACGCCCUGAGGGGGAAAGCGGGGGAUCGAAAGACCUCGCGCGAUUAGAGCGGCCGAUGCCUGAUUAGCUUGUUGGUGGGGUAAAAGCCCACCAAGGCGACGAUCAGUAGCUGGUCUGAGAGGACGAUCAGCCACACUGGGACUGAGACACGGCCCAGACUCCUACGGGAGGCAGCAGUGGGGAAGUUUGGACGAUGGGGGCAACCCUGAUCCAGCAAUGCCGCGUGAGUGAAGAAGGCCUUCGGAUUGUAAAGCUCUUUUGUCAGGGAAGAAUGGUAGACUAGGUUAAGAGCUAGGUUUAUUGAUGUUACCCAAAGAAUAAGCACCGGCUAACUCCGUGCCAGCCGCCGCCGUAA